GAGAAUCCUAAGGCCGACGGGAGAAGUAUUGUUAAGGAACUCGGCAAAAUGACUCCGUAACUUCGGGAGAAGGAGUGCCAUGAGAGUGGCCGCAGAGAAAUGGCCCAAGCAACUGUUUAGCAAAAACACAGGUCUAUGCGAAACCGAAAGGUGAAGUAUAUGGGCUGACGCCUGCCCGGUGCUGGAAGGUUAAGAGGAGAGGUUAGCUUCGGCGAAGCUUUGAAUUUAAGCCCCAGUAAACGGCGGCCGUAACUAUAACGGUCCUAAGGUAGCGAAAUUCCUUGUCGGGUAAGUUCCGACCCGCACGAAAGGCGUAAUGAUUUGAGCACUGUCUCGACAAUGCAUCCGGUGAAAUUGAAGUACCAGUGAAGAUGCUGGUUACCCGCGCCAGGACGGAAAGACCCCAUGGAGCUUUACUCCAGUUUGAUACUGGGAUUCGGUACUGCAUGUACAGGAUAGGUGGGAGACGAAGAAGGAUGGACGCCAGUCUGUCCGGAGUCGCUGUUGGGAUACCACCCCUGUAGUACUGGGUUUCUAACCAGUUGCCAUGAUCUGGCAAUGGGACAAUGUCAGGCGGGGAGUUUGACUGGGGCGGUCGCCUCCGAAAGGGUAUCGGAGGCGCUCAAAGGUUCCCUCAGAAUGGUUGGAAACCAUUUGAAGAGUGCAAAGGCAGAAGGGAGCUUGACUGCGACACCGACGGGUGGAGCAGGUACGAAAGUAGGACUUAGUGAUCCGGUGGUAUAAAGUGGGAUUGCCAUCGCUCAACGGAUAAAAGCUACCCUGGGGAUAACAGGCUUAUCACUCCCAAGAGUUCACAUCGACGGAGUGGUUUGGCACCUCGAUGUCGGCUCAUCGCAUCCUGGGGCUGUAGCAGGUCCCAAGGGUUGGGCUGUUCGCCCAUUAAAGCGGUACGCGAGCUGGGUUCAGAACGUCGUGAGACAGUUCGGUCCCUAUCCGGCGCGGGCGGAGGAUAUUUGAGAGGAGCUGUCCUUAGUACGAGAGGACCGGGAUGGACGGACCACUGGUGUAUCUGUUGUCGACCAACGGCAUGGCAGAGUAGCCAAGUCUGGAAGGGAUAAACGCUGAAGGCAUCUAAGCGUGAAGCCCCCCUCAAGAUGAGAUAUCCCUCCUUCGGGAGUAAGACCCCUUGAAGACUACAAGGUAGAUAGGGCAGAGGUGGAAGCAUGGCAACAUGUGGAGCUGACUGUUACUAAUAGGUCGAGGGCUUAAUCUG
rnacentral:rRNA from 1 species